GACGAACGCUGGCGGCGUGCUUAACACAUGCAAGUCGAACGGAAAGGCCCUGCUUUUGUGGGGUGCUCGAGGGGCGAACGGGUGAGUAACACGUGAGUAACCGGCCCUUGACUUUGGGAUAACUUCAGGAAACUGGGGCUAAUACCGGAUAGGAUCUCCUGCUGCAUGGUGGGGGGUGGAAAGUUUCGGCGGUUGGGGAUGGACUCGCGGCUUAUCAGCUUGUUGGUGGGGGAGUGGCUUACCAAGGCUUGGACGGGUAGCCGGCCUGAGAGGGUGACCGGCCACCUUGGGCCUGAGAUACGGCCCAGAGUCCUACGGGAGGCAGCAGUGGGGAAUCUUGCCCAAUGGGCGCAAGCCUGAUGCAGCAACGCCGCGUGCGGGAUGACGGCCUUCGGGUUGUAAACCGCUUUCGCCUGUGACGCAGCGUGAGUGACGGUAAUGGGUAAAGAAGCACCGGCUAACUACGUG
rnacentral:rRNA from 1 species